AUUGAACGCUGGCGGCAGGCCUAACCCAUGCAAGUCGAGCGAGCGGCGGACGGGUGAGUAAUGUCUGGGAAACUGCCUGAUGGAGGGGGAUAACUCCUGGAAACGGUAGCUAAUACCGCAUACCAUCAGAUGGUCCCAGAUGGGUUUGGCUAGUAGGUGGGGUAAUGGCUCACCUAGGCGACGCUCCCUAGCUGGUCUGGGAGGAUGACCAGCCAAACUGGAACUGAGACACGGUCCAGACUCCUACGGGAGGCAGCAGUGGGGAAUAUUGCACAAUGGGCGCAAGCCUGAUGCAGCCAUGCCGCGUGUAUGAAGAAGGCCUUCGGGUUGUAAAGUACUUUCAGCGAGGAGGCGUUACUCGCAGAAGAAGCACCGGCUAACUCCGUGCCAGCAGCCGCGGUAAUAC
rnacentral:rRNA from 1 species